UAGUGAUUCAAUUAGCAGUUAUGGCAAGAGAGAUUGCAAAAUGGGGCAAAACUCAUUUAACUGUUUUGCUUAAUAAUGGACAUUUGGGGCUGAAUGGCAGUCAUAAGACAAGGACCACCUGUAUAGCAAAACAAAAAGCAGAAAACCCAUAACUGUCAGUCAAGAAAGUGCUCCCACAGAGAUUGACAGAGUUUUCUGUUGAUUAUGCCACUCUGUUUGUGUGGUCUCCCAAAUGGAAAAUGGAUAGUUCUGUGGCAAAAAGAAAAUCAGAAUGGAGCUUGUAGGCAGGGGUGUAUUGAUCUCUUGGAAGACGGGCAUUUGAUCUGAAAGCACCCUCUGGGAAAUCAAUAUAUCUGUGUCAAAAGCAAACAAUUCAACAAAAAAGGUGUGUAAAUCAGAGAGGUGGCUAAUCUUUCUCACAGCCAACCCAAAAUAGGCUUAUGGCUCUUCUGCUACAGGCCUGCAAAGGCCAGUUCUGCAAGCUCCAAAUUUUUCUGUUUUCCCUGCUUAACCUCCUUUCGAACUCCAGCUUUUUUGCUAGCUCUUGACAAAGAAAAUAAAUGACACUGGAAGGAGAGGCAUAUCUAAUAUGGGUAAUAUAUGUUGGGCUGAUUCUACCCUCCACCUGACUAUGCUUCUGUCAGUAAGGAGAGUGAAGCUUUUCGGAUUUAAUACACCUUGAAACUGUUGCUGCUUUCUGUCAGCUUAAGCAAAAAUACUACUACAGUACACCAUGUAACUUCAUGCACAUGAGGACAAGGUGAUGGUAAAAAUGUUGCCAGCUCCUACAAUGGUUAAGUACAUGAACCUUAGUCGAGCAGAAGGCACAAUUCAGGGAGAAGAAAGAGCCUACCAUCAGCUCUUGUACGUACCACUAAGGUCUUGUAAAAGUCCUUCAGGCUCUUCUUCAAGCGAUUGAUGAUUGAGAUAGCAUUGGGCAAUUCUUCCAAACAGGUGGGUCCAGGUCCAAUGGGACAGCCAUGAGAUAAACUCCAGCCAACCGCCAUCAAUGACAUCAGCAAUACCAAUUUUUGCUGUCCUACAGGAUGUGAGCAUUGAAUCAUUAAGAUAUGCCAUUAAAGGAACAGGAACUUAAUGGAAGUGAAGAUGUUAUGAUAUGGCUUGUCAUCAAACUGAGGGAUUGAAUAGUAAAAAAUUGUGACAGUGUGAAUGUGCCUGAGUGAUUACUGCACGGAAGAAUAUUCAACAAACUAUCUUAUCAUUUCAUUUUAAAAGUUGGAUUAUAAAAGCUUCUUUUUCCAAUAUUUGAAGCAAGUAAUGAACUGAAGCACUUAAAUACUCUUAUUUUAGAUUGUCAGAUUGUAACUCAGAUCAGAGUAAAAUACUGAGCAGCAGCCCUAAAAAUUUGACAUCAAUUGGGGUGGACUAAGCAUACCACAGAAGUUCAACAACAAAAAUCCUGAAUCAGCAAGGGAAGCUAUUAAGAAUCUUGGACAGAUGAAAAAAAACCCAAACAACAAAACAACCUUCUCAGUUUUCAUUCAAGCACCCAAACAAGAUUCCUGAUUUUCAGCACAACUCAGCAGUAGAGGUUGUUGACAACUCUGCUUCCACUGAUGAGAGCUCAGCAGUGAAUUGCACUGAGCAACAUUUGUCUUCAGAACUUGCAUUGCUUCCCAAAGUCUCUAUAGAGAUCAUCUCAAAGUCUCUAUGCAAAUCAUCUCAAAGCCACUACAGAUAUCAGCCUUAGUCUUUGAUCUCCCCUUUCCUAAAGGCCAGCUGGUUGAAUAACCCCUUUCCUCAGCUAUCUAAACCUAAGACAUUGCUCACCCAGACAACCCAACUUUCCACUUCAGAGCAAGAGAAUACAAUGCCCUACAGCAGCUUCUACUCACGCUGCUUCAUCCUGCUCCAAGUUAGGUGCUUUCCCACUUCUUAAUUGUCCCUCUACCUUUUGCCUUCCAGGGUCUUUAUAUCUUACCUGUUUGCUUGAGAGCACACCCCUAUUCUGACAUCAUUCUGGGUUUCCAAGAAAAGCAACUGGAAUGGACAAGAAGUAAACAUGUGACCAAAGAUAAAAGAUUUUAACGUUUGGACACUUCUGGGUGAGGCAGGACAAGGUGAAACAGGACAUGACAACCUAUCAAUGGUCUCCAGGAGAGAAUGACGAAAAUGAAAUGUCCAAGGAUUGGAAGACAGUGGUCAAUUUGGUUUUUUUUUUAAGUGGGUGGGGAGGUUCCGAAGAUGAGCUUCAGAUCAGAUUUCUGGCUUCAGAUAGGCAAAGAUUUGAAGUUGUUGCUGAGACUUCAGUUCUGAAUUAAAACUGAAGAGAAGGUUCAGAAGAGCUAUUUAGCAAUAGUCUGGAAUACACCAUGUUGUAUAAUUCAGACAAAACAGUUUGAUACAACCCCCCCCCCCCAACCCCUCUCUAAGUUAACGUAUAAAUGUAAUAUUUUUGAACUAAUUGUACUGAAAUAGAUGUAAUGUUAGAGAUUCUUGGGCUAACUUUGUGCAGGCACCUCUUCCAUACUUCUUUCUUUUUUUUUCUUUUUGUACCAUUCAGGCAGUGAUGAUAACUACCUGGACUGGUCCCUAC